rnacentral:rRNA from 1 species
AGUGAACGCUGGCGGUAGGCCUAACACAUGCAAGUCGAACGGCAGCACAGUAAGAGCUUGCUCUUACGGGUGGCGAGUGGCGGACGGGUGAGGAAUACAUCGGAAUCUACUUUUUCGUGGGGGAUAACGUAGGGAAACUUACGCUAAUACCUCAUACGACCUACGGGUGAAAUCAGGGGAUCUUCGGACCUUGCGCGAUUGAAUUAGCCGAUGUCGGAUUAGCUAGUUGGCGUGGUAAAGGCCCACCAAGGCGACGAUCCGUAGCUGAUCUGAGAGGAUGAUCAGCCACACUGGAACUGAGACACGGUCCAGACUCCUACGGGAGGCAGCAGUGGGGAAUAUUGGACAAUGGGCGCAAGCCUGAUCCAGCCAUACCGCGUGGGUGAAGAAGGCCUUCGGGUUGUAAAGCCCUUUUGUUGGGAAAGAAAAGCAGCAGGUUAAUACCCCGCUGUUCUGACGGUACCCAAAGAAUAAGCACCGGCUAACUUCGUG